UAAAUCGUCGCCAUCGUGCUAACUUGUCGUACGUGCAUUUUGGGCCAAAUUGAGUUAAGAACGCCAUUUUGUGCAGCUCACAAUGCCUCACCUUUUGACCUUCACAGAUCCCCAAAAUUCGAUUUCAAUCCUGAGAUAUUCAACAAAAACCGAAAAAACUCCGUGCAUUUUUGUCACUUUACAUAUGAAAGUAGUUUCAAUCUUGUCGUGCUAUCUUGUCACUCCCUGAAAAUUGAUUGCGACAAAGGGCAAAGGGAUUUCAGGUCAGGAUGCGUUUGACGCACGUACAAGUUAGACUACCGUAAACAUUUUUAAUUAUAACUCGGGACUCCAGCAACCAACUUCAACCAAACUUCGGGACAAUGCACAGAAUGGUCAGCCAAACAAAACGUGUUUGUUAUUGUUUACAUUGCGUGCUUUCGUUUUUGUUUAUUCAAGGUCAAACAUUAAAACGCGUUUUUCUCGGAACGUCAAAAUGGCGGGUGCGACAUGAUAGCACGACGACGUCGAUAUGUUUAUUCAAAUAU